UACGUAGGGUGCGAGCGUUAAUCGGAAUUACUGGGCGUAAAGCGUGCGCAGGCGGUUCGUUGUGUCCGAUGUGAAAGCCCCGGGCUUAACCUGGGAAUGGCAUUGGAAACUGGCGAGCUUGAGUGCGGAAGAGGCGAGUGGAAUUCCUAGUGUAGAGGUGAAAUUCGUAGAUAUUAGGAAGAACACCAGUGGCGAAGGCAGCUCACUGGCCCGGUACUGACGCUGAGGCGCGAAAGCGUGGGGAGCAAACAGG
rnacentral:rRNA from 1 species